UACGUAGGGUGCAAGCGUUAAUCGGAAUUACUGGGCGUAAAGCGCGUGUAGGCGGCCAUCUAAGUCGGGCGUGAAAUCCCACGGCUCAACCGUGGAAGUGCACUCGAAACUGGAUGGCUAGAGUCCUGGAGAGGAAGGUGGAAUGCUUGGUGUAGAGGUGAAAUUCGUAGAUAUCAAGCGGAACACCGGUGGCGAAGGCGGCCUUCUGGACAGUGACUGACGCUGAGACGCGAAAGCGUGGGGAGCAAACAGGG
rnacentral:rRNA from 1 species